CUGAGUCUGCAGGUGCGUUUCAGACCCGGGUGGAGGCAGCCUAAGUCUGGCGGAGUUGAACACUCGAGUCAAGAAGACCCGGGAUGGUUAAGACAGGACGGUCAACAGCUUUCAGCUGAAAUCUAGAAGUUAAAGGAAGAGCAGAAGCCAGAGCUUUCCACGCGAGCGUGCGCCGGAGCGUCUCGGGAGCCGGCCCUGAUGCUCUGUGCUUGCUGCUGGAAGCCGAAUCCUGUUUUUGGGGAGAGAGGCUCUACUAAUGGGGACUGACGGGGGUGGAAGUGAAGAUAAUGUGCUCUGGAAGGAGAAACGAAAAAAAGCUCCUCUAUGUGAUUCUAUCUCACGGAAGCCAAAACAGGAAAGAUUAGCAAAUCGAGAAUAAAGAGUCUUAUGUUACCGAGAAGACUGGAAAAUGUGUUGUGCUAAGGACACAACGGUGGCCAAAACGGACACGUGGUCUCUGGCUUCAAGGAGCUUAUCCGGAUUAACUACGCAAGUCACAACAGAAUCACAGACGGUGAGUGAACACAGCUCGCUCUCUCCAGCUUUCGGCAGGUGCACUUGCCAUUCCUCUCUGGGACACCCGCCCCGAGCUCCGGCUCACUCAUCAAAAUACAGCUUUUACCCCCUUGGGAAAUGUUCCCGAGACUUCGCAGACGCCCAGCCUGCGGAACGAUCAAGUCCUUCCUCUGCGCACCAGGCUCGCCGUGUCUACCGUGCGGUGCUCACCCUAACCGUAGACCUGGUGUGUUUGCGUGUCUUUGUACACACCAGACUUCAAGGUCUUUCUGAGCUCCUGGGAGGGUACGAGUUUUUUCUUUCUAUCUUGUAUCUCAGAGCCUAGGACAGGAGGUGCAGUGACAGCUCUCGGAAUACGUGAAUGUGAGUUUUACUAACAAGCUGUGUUACACCGGCGCAUACAGAGGAGGCAGCAGUGCAGAACUAUGGCCACCACAGAAGCCCCAACUCGACUGGACUAGACCCCUGUGCUGACCCCAUUUCAAAGCCAAACUAAGGAGAUAAUGCACGUGUCUAUGAUUUACAACCGGAGUUAUACCAAUUUUAGCUAUUUUCAUUAUUACCUAUACAUUUGCAAAGUAAGUGAA